ACACACCACCUACAGUCGGCACGUUUUUUCAGCAAACCCAAACAAAGACACUGAUUGGCUGAUCCCU